rnacentral:lncRNA from 1 species
GUAAUUCACGAACAGCCCGGAGCAGAAAGAGCCCAGCUGCUCUGCAGUUGCAACAGUUGUGCGCAUCUAAAUCCAGCCGGGUUCUGCGCGCCGGUCCCGGUCCCUUUCCCCAGUGGAUUCGCGGCUCCUCCGCGCACCGCAGCCUCUGCGGCGAAUUCGGGGAGAGGGGGGCGUGGGGAGCUCUGGGUGGCGGGGGGGAGCGAGGGAAGAGGGAGACGCGCCUGGGCUGAAAGGCAAUCCUCCCCGCCUGCAAACGUGUCGCCCAGCCCUGGCACCUCGCGGGCCCCUCUAGGAGCCCGCACAGCACAGCGGCCACCGAGGAGAGGAAAAGGGAAGUGUGGGGCUCGGCGAGGGCGAGGAAGCUUUGCCCAAGGCCAGGCUGCAAUUAGGCAGCCGCAAAAGCCCCGCCGCGGAGCUUCCCACCUGCUGCUGUCCCAGCUGGGGCUCAACCUCCUCCUCCCCGGCCGGGGCCGGACUCCCAGACCCGGCUCGCUGGGCGGAGGGGGCGGAAGCGGCGGCAGGUUCUCCUCCCUGGCAGCGUCGCGGGCAGCGGGUGUAGCAUCGUCCCCUCCCCGCCGAGAUUCCCGGGGCCGGCCGUGCGGCCAGGCGCGCUGCGAUUGGCCGGCCGAGGCCGGGGGGCGGAGCCAGGCGGGCCGGUAUCUCAAAAGAGCCCAGGAUAUUGCAGAGCGCACUGGAGCCCUGGCCAGCGCGCAGCCUUCCCCGGCGCCGGCAAGCUGGGUCUUGGGGAUUCUGGUUUGCUUUGGCUCACUCGCUUUUUACAAACUACUGGAUCUUACAUGCCUCUGUACCCCCCACUUCCACUUCAUGUCCCCAUGCUCCUGCGCCAGCAACAGGACAUGUACUCUGGAUGUCAGCUGAGUUACUGAGGUAGCUCUGCAUGUCCGUAGACAGACCUUGGUAGAACCUCGAGAGGCUCCUGGAAACCCCCACUCUCUCCUUAUUCUUUUUUGUAUGUGUCCUCACUGAACAUUCAAAACUGUUUCUCCAAAGGGUUUUGCAAAAACUCAGACUGUUUUCCAAAGCAGAAGCAC